rnacentral:lncRNA from 1 species
GGUCGGGUGCUGGGCGGGGGGGCCGAGGCUGGGGCAGGUGGGGAACCCGAUGCAGAGACAUGGGGAGAAAACAGAAAAGGUGGAGGCAAAAGCUCGCCCCAAGAGCUGGACAUUAAACCAGUCCGUAUGUCCAGUGCCCACGGAGAGAGCAGUGAUGGCAGCAGGGAUUCUGGAGAUGGAAGGAGCCAAGGAGAGAGGAGGAGGAGAAGGAAGGAGGGAAGACAGCCCAGCAGUUCAGACAGAAAGAGCAGCUCCCAGGAGUCUGCUGGAGCCUCAAGGUCAGACUCUGAGGUCUUCAUCCCCCCCACUACGACCAGAGGGCAGAGAGCGACCAGAGGACCAUACAGCGGCACGCCAUCAGAGACAGAAAGCAGACGUGGGGGAAUGUCCGUCUGCGAGCGGAGAGCGGAGAAGAAUACACAAAGUGACCCGGACCAAUCGGGGAGUCACCAAGAGAAGAGCUGCAGAACCCUCAGAGUGAAAUCCCAGAGCGCGGCGGGAGAUUCCUCCAGUCACACGACAGAGGAUGAGGAUCCAACGGACCAAUCAGAGGGAAGCAGGAAGGAAUGCGGACAGCAGAAAGACUCUGUAAGUGUUAAAGAGAAGAGUAGACAAGAUCUGACCACAGAUGCGCAGAGAACUGGAGAGGAGGCAGCCGACGUCCAGGGAGACCAGGGGGGAACCGACGAAGACGCCAAACACACCGAUGAAGACUCUAGUAGUGAGGAUGAAGAAAACCGCCUGAUCGAGGAACAGGAGGAAGAGGAUGAGGAGGAAUCACACAGAGAGGAGGAUAAAGAGGAAAGAGGAGAGGACGAUGAAGGGCAGGAGUCGGAGGCCAGUGGAGAAGAGGAAGGCCGGGAGCAGACGGGGUCCUCUGACAGUGAGAGUGAAGGUGACGCCAUGUUGCGGGCCAAAGAGGAACCGGAGAAUAAGGAACGUCAGGCCGAGGUAGAUGAUGAUGGGAAGGAGCUGGAUGAGGAAGAGGAUGGAGGCGGGGGAGGAGUGUGCAUUUGUCAGCCACAGGAAGGGGAGCCGGAGGAAACAGAUUCAGAUGACAGCAUCGUCUUACCGCAGGAACACAGAUCUAUAAAGGUACAAAGUGUUUCUGAGGAGGAAGAGGCCAACAGUCGGGAGGAGGAAGAGGAGGGAGAGGGGACUGGAGGAGAUGGCUCAGUGGAGAGCUCAGACAGUGAGGAAGAGGAGGGCGAGGACAUUGAACGUCUCGUCGCACCUCGAGCGGAGACGGAGAGUAAACAAGAGAAUGAACUGAAAUCCCUCAACAAAACAAAAGUGGUAAAAGAAGACCCCCAGAUUGAGGAGUCUUUGUUGGAGCAGUCAGACAAACGGGUCCAGAAGGCUGAGGACACAGAUGAUGAGUUUGACCACUUCUAUGAUUGA